CAGCCCGUUAAACACCCAACUUUCUGAAAUGUUGACCUCGGAUCAGGUAGGAAUACCCGCUGAACUUAAGCAUAUCAAUAAGCGGAGGAAAAGAAACCAACAGGGAUUGCCCCAGUAACGGCGAGUGAAGCGGCAACAGCUCAAAUUUGAAAUCUGGCCCCUAGGGUCCGAGUUGUAAUUUGUAGAGGAUGCUUUUGGUGAGGUGCCGCCCGAGUUCCCUGGAACGGGACGCCACAGAGGGUGAGAGCCCCGUCUGGCUGGCCGCCGAGCCUCUGUAAAGCUCCUUCGACGAGUCGAGUAGUUUGGGAAUGCUGCUCAAAAUGGGAGGUAUAUGUCUUCUAAAGCUAAAUAUUGGCCAGAGACCGAUAGCGCACAAGUAGAGUGAUCGAAAGAUGAAAAGCACCUUGAAAAGAGGGUUAAAUAGUACGUGAAAUUGUUGAAAGGGAAGCGCUUGUGACCAGACUUGGGCGCGGCGGAUCAUCCGGGGUUCUCUCCGGUGCACUUCGCCGCGUCUAGGCCAGCAUCAGUUCGUCGCGGGGGAAAAAGGCUUCGGGAACGUGGCUCCUCCGGGAGUGUUAUAGCCCGUUGCAUAAUACCCUGCGGUGGACUGAGGACCGCGCAUCUGCAAGGAUGCUGGCGUAAUGGUCACCAGCGACCCGUCUUGAAACACGGACCAAGGAGUCGUCUUCGUAUGCGAGUGUUCGGGUGUCAAACCCCUACGCGUAAUGAAAGUGAACGCAGGUGAGAGCUUCGGCGCAUCAUCGACCGAUCCUGAUGUUCUCGGAUGGAUUUGAGUAAGAGCAUACGGGGCCGGACCCGAAAGAAGGUGAACUAUGCCUGUAUAGGGUGAAGCCAGAGGAAACUCUGGUGGAGGCUCGCAGCGGUUCUGACGUGCAAAUCGAUCGUCAAAUAUGGGCAUGGGGGCGAAAGACUAAUCGAACCUUCUAGUAGCUGGUUUCCGC
rnacentral:rRNA from 1 species